CCUCACAGGUUGUUGAGUUCCAGCAGGGUCUGGUCCAAGGUCUGGUGAAUCUCGACAUUCUCCUCCUUGGCACUGGCCAAGGUCUCUUUCAGAUCAUCGAUGGUUUUCUCCAACUUUGCCACAGACCUUUCGGCAAACUCUGCUCGGGUCUCAGCCUGGGGGGUAAAGGCAGGAUGGGAGAAAUGGGAAAGAAUUAGGCCCUCCCACAGACCACUGCCCAAGUCAAGCUU